rnacentral:rRNA from 1 species
CUGGGAGGACCAUCUCCUAAGGCUAAAUACUCUCUAGUGACCGAUAGUGAACCAGUACCGUGAGGGAAAGGUGAAAAGCACCCCGGAAGGGGAGUGAAAUAGAACCUGAAACCGUGUGCUUACAAGUAGUCAGAGCCCGUUAAUGGGUGAUGGCGUGCCUUUUGUAGAAUGAACCGGCGAGUUACGAUUUGAUGCAAGGUUAAGCAGUAAAUGUGGAGCCGUAGCGAAAGCGAGUCUGAAUAGGGCGUUUAGUAUUUGGUCGUAGACCCGAAACCAGGUGAUCUACCCUUGGUCAGGUUGAAGUUCAGGUAACACUGAAUGGAGGACCGAACCGACUUACGUUGAAAAGUGAGCGGAUGAACUGAGGGUAGCGGAGAAAUUCCAAUCGAACCUGGAGAUAGCUGGUUCUCUCCGAAAUAGCUUUAGGGCUAGCCUCAAGUGAUGAUUAUUGGAGGUAGAGCACUGUUUGGACGAGGGGCCCCUCUCGGGUUACCGAAUUCAGACAAACUCCGAAUGCCAAUUAAUUUAACUUGGGAGUCAGAACAUGGGUGAUAAGGUCCGUGUUCGAAAGGGAAACAGCCCAGACCACCAGCUAAGGUCCCAAAAUAUAUGUUAAGUGGAAAAGGAUGUGGCGUUGCCCAGACAACUAGGAUGUUGGCUUAGAAGCAGCCAUCAUUUAAAGAGUGCGUAAUAGCUCACUAGUCGAGUGACACUGCGCCGAAAAUGUACCGGGGCUAAACAUAUUACCGAAGCUGUGGAUUGUCCUUUGGACAAUGGUAGGAGAGCGUUCUAAGGGCGUUGAAGCAUGAUCGUAAGGACAUGUGGAGCGCUUAGAAGUGAGAAUGCCGGUGUGAGUAGCGAAAGACGGGUGAGAAUCCCGUCCACCGAUUGACUAAGGUUUCCAGAGGAAGGCUCGUCCGCUCUGGGUUAGUCGGGUCCUAAGCUGAGGCCGACAGGCGUAGGCGAUGGAUAACAGGUUGAUAUUCCUGUACCACCUAUAAUCGUUUUAAUCGAUGGGGGGACGCAGUAGGAUAGGCGAAGCGUG